CAUAGGUUAAUGAGGCGAACCGGGGGAACUGAAACAUCUAAGUACCCCGAGGAAAAGAAAUCAACCGAGAUUCCCCCAGUAGCGGCGAGCGAACGGGGAGCAGCCCAGAGCCUGAAUCAGUGUGUGUGUUAGUGGAAGCGUCUGGAAAGGCGCGCGAUACAGGGUGACAGCCCCGUACACAAAAAUGCACAUACUGUGAGCUCGAUGAGUAGGGCGGGACACGUGGUAUCCUGUCUGAAUAUGGGGGGACCAUCCUCCAAGGCUAAAUACUCCUGACUGACCGAUAGUGAACCAGUACCGUGAGGGAAAGGCGAAAAGAACCCCGGCGAGGGGAGUGAAAAAGAACCUGAAACCGUGUACGUACAAGCAGUGGGAGCACGCUUAGGCGUGUGACUGCGUACCUUUUGUAUAAUGGGUCAGCGACUUAUAUUCUGUAGCAAGGUUAACCGAAUAGGGGAGCCGAAGGGAAACCGAGUCUUAACUGGGCGUUAAGUUGCAGGGUAUAGACCCGAAACCCGGUGAUCUAGCCAUGGGCAGGUUGAAGGUUGGGUAACACUAACUGGAGGACCGAACCGACUAAUGUUGAAAAAUUAGCGGAUGACUUGUGGCUGGGGGUGAAAGGCCAAUCAAACCGGGAGAUAGCUGGUUCUCCCCGAAAGCUAUUUAGGUAGCGCCUCGUGAAUUCAUCUCCGGGGGUAGAGCACUGUUUCGGCAAGGGGGUCAUCCCGACUUACCAACCCGAUGCAAACUGCGAAUACCGGAGAAUGUUAUCACGGGAGACACACGGCGGGUGCUAACGUCCGUCGUGAAGAGGGAAACAACCCAGACCGCCAGCUAAGGUCCCAAAGUCAUGGUUAAGUGGGAAACGAUGUGGGAAGGCCCAGACAGCCAGGAUGUUGGCUUAGAAGCAGCCAUCAUUUAAAGAAAGCGUAAUAGCUCACUGGUCGAGUCGGCCUGCGCGGAAGAUGUAACGGGGCUAAACCAUGCACCGAAGCUGCGGCAGCGACGCUUAUGCGUUGUUGGGUAGGGGAGCGUUCUGUAAGCCUGCGAAGGUGUGCUGUGAGGCAUGCUGGAGGUAUCAGAAGUGCGAAUGCUGACAUAAGUAACGAUAAAGCGGGUGAAAAGCCCGCUCGCCGGAAGACCAAGGGUUCCUGUCCAACGUUAAUCGGGGCAGGGUGAGUCGACCCCUAAGGCGAGGCCGAAAGGCGUAGUCGAUGGGAAACAGGUUAAUAUUCCUGUACUUGGUGUUACUGCGAAGGGGGGACGGAGAAGGCUAUGUUGGCCGGGCGACGGUUGUCCCGGUUUAAGCGUGUAGGCUGGUUUUCCAGGCAAAUCCGGAAAAUCAAGGCUGAGGCGUGAUGACGAGGCACUACGGUGCUGAAGCAACAAAUGCCCUGCUUCCAGGAAAAGCCUCUAAGCAUCAGGUAACAUCAAAUCGUACCCCAAACCGACACAGGUGGUCAGGUAGAGAAUACCAAGGCGCUUGAGAGAACUCGGGUGAAGGAACUAGGCAAAAUGGUGCCGUAACUUCGGGAGAAGGCACGCUGAUAUGUAGGUGAAGUGAUUUACUCAUGGAGCUGAAAUCAGUCGAAGAUACCAGCUGGCUGCAACUGUUUAUUAAAAACACAGCACUGUGCAAACACGAAAGUGGACGUAUACGGUGUGACGCCUGCCCGGUGCCGGAAGGUUAAUUGAUGGGGUUAGCGCAAGCGAAGCUCUUGAUCGAAGCCCCGGUAAACGGCGGCCGUAACUAUAACGGUCCUAAGGUAGCGAAAUUCCUUGUCGGGUAAGUUCCGACCUGCACGAAUGGCGUAAUGAUGGCCAGGCUGUCUCCACCCGAGACUCAGUGAAAUUGAACUCGCUGUGAAGAUGCAGUGUACCCGCGGCAAGACGGAAAGACCCCGUGAACCUUUACUAUAGCUUGACACUGAACAUUGAGCCUUGAUGUGUAGGAUAGGUGGGAGGCUUUGAAGUGUGGACGCCAGUCUGCAUGGAGCCGACCUUGAAAUACCACCCUUUAAUGUUUGAUGUUCUAACGUGGACCCGUAAUCCGGGUUGCGGACAGUGUCUGGUGGGUAGUUUGACUGGGGCGGUCUCCUCCUAAAGAGUAACGGAGGAGCACGAAGGUUGGCUAAUCCUGGUCGGACAUCAGGAGGUUAGUGCAAUGGCAUAAGCCAGCUUGACUGCGAGCGUGACGGCGCGAGCAGGUGCGAAAGCAGGUCAUAGUGAUCCGGUGGUUCUGAAUGGAAGGGCCAUCGCUCAACGGAUAAAAGGUACUCCGGGGAUAACAGGCUGAUACCGCCCAAGAGUUCAUAUCGACGGCGGUGUUUGGCACCUCGAUGUCGGCUCAUCACAUCCUGGGGCUGAAGUAGGUCCCAAGGGUAUGGCUGUUCGCCAUUUAAAGUGGUACGCGAGCUGGGUUUAGAACGUCGUGAGACAGUUCGGUCCCUA
rnacentral:rRNA from 1 species